UGGUGUGUCCCUUUCCUGUAGAGUGUGU
rnacentral:piRNA from 1 species